UGCCCUACAGUUCCCCGUCCGGGAACAAGGAGCCGGUAUCAGGCACAUUUAUCGAGCCCAUGACGCCUUGCUUAGCCACACCCUCAAGGGAACUCAGCAGUGAUAGACAUUAAGCCAUAAGUGAAAACUUGACUUAGUUAAGGUUAAGAGGGCCGGUAAAACUCGUGCCAGCCACCGCGGUUAUACGAGAGGCCCAAGUUGAUAGCCAUCGGCGUAAAGCGUGGUUAAAUUAAAACUCAUACUAAAGCCAAACAUCUUCAAGACUGUUAUACGUAACCGAAGACAGGAAGUUSAACCACGAAAGUGGCUUUAUUUGAUCUGAAUCCACGAAAGCUAAGGRACAAACUGGGAUUAGAUACCCCRCUAUGCCUAGCCCUAAACAUUGAUAGUACUAUACACCCACUAUCCGCCUGGGAACUACGAGCAAUAGCUUAAAACCCAAAGGACUUGGCGGUGCUUUAGAUCCACCUAGAGGAGCCUGUUCUAGAACCGAUAACCCCCGUUCAACCUCACCCUUCCUUGUUUAUCCCGCCUAUAUACCGCCGUCGUCAGCUUACCCUGUGAAGGUCUAAUAGUAAGCAAAACUGGCACAGCCUAAAACGUCAGGUCGAGGUGUAGCGUAUGGAGGGGGAAGAAAUGGGCUACAUUCGCUACUACAGCGAACACGAAAGAUGCACUGAACACUCAUCUGAAGGAGGAUAUAGCAGUAAGYRG
rnacentral:rRNA from 1 species